rnacentral:rRNA from 1 species
UGGCGAACGGGUGAGUAACGCGUGAGGAACCCGCCUCAAAGAGGGGGACAACAGUUGGAAACGACUGCUAAUACCGCAUAAGCCCACGGGUCGGCAUCGACCUGAGGGAAAAGGAGCAAUCCGCUUUGAGAUGGCCUCGCGUCCGACUAGCUAGUUGGUGAGGUAACGGCCCACCAAGGCGACGAUCGGUAGCCGGACUGAGAGGUUGAACGGCCACAUUGGGACUGAGACACGGCCCAG